GGACAGGAAGAUAACCUAGUUGCCACAUCUGUGCCCCCACUGAUUGUGAGAGCUGACCUGACUGACCUGGCUGGCUAGGUGAGCAUCCCUUUCCUCUCUCACCACUCAGUGUGUCCCUCCCAAAGNUUUUUGCUUAGUAGAAGAGGAUGUCUUUCCCUGAUAGAAGAGAACUGAGUGUUCUUUGGUCAAGGAUCUAUGAGAAGCAUCCUUCCCCUGUUAGACCCUCCAAACAAGCCCUCAAAACCCCACAGCAAACAACAUAGUUAGCAGAAAUAGUAAAAGCUUCAGCCCUAUAAUGAUACCAAAAAAGAUGAUCCUCUGCUUG
ensembl:misc_RNA predicted gene, 25178